CCUACGGGUGGCAGCAGUGAGGAAUAUUGGUCAAUGGACGAGAGUCUGAACCAGCCAAGCCGCGUGAAGGAAGAAUGCCCUAUGGGUUGUAAACCUCUUUUAUAUGGGAACAAAAUGUACCACGAGUGCCCUUUUGUGUGUACCUUACGAAUAAGGAUCGGCUAACUCCGUGCCAGCAGCCGCGGUAAUACGGAGGGUUCGAGCGUUAACCGGAUUUGUUGGGUGUAAAGGGCGCGUAGGUGGUGUGUUAAGUCAGUUGUGAAAGGUCGGGGCUCAACCGCAGCAUCGCCGUUGAUACUGGCAGUCUUGAGUAGGGUAGAGGGAGGCGGAAUUCGUGGUGUAGCGGUGAAAUGCUUAGAUAUCGCGAAGAACUCCGAUUGCGAAGGCAGCUCGCUGGACUGCAACUGACGCUGAGGCACGAAAGCGUGGGUAUCGAACAGGAUUAGAUACCCGUGUAGUC
rnacentral:rRNA from 1 species